CUGCCCAGGCUGGAGUGCAAUGGUGCAAUCUCAGCUCAAUCGCCUCCCAGGCUCCAGUGAUUUUCCUGCUUAUUUAGCAUAUUGCUCAUUGUUUAGUAGGCACCUAGUAAAUAUCAUUUCAUUGAAUAAAUAAAAUGAAAACAACUCAGUUUCUCAAAAACAAACAACAAACAUAGCAAAACAAAACAAAAGCCUCAAUAACAAGUACAUGUAGGAAUUUUGUCUGUGGUUACGUGACCCAUCUCCCAAAAAAAUGUGUGCCCCCAACAUCUAAGGAGCUUAUACUGGAGAAGCCAAUGAUAGUCCAUGAAUAUUAGCAGGAAAUCAUUAGGUUUAUCUCCCUUUUCAUUGGCUGACUUAUUGAU
rnacentral:lncRNA from 1 species